GGUGGUGGACGGGCCUCCGCCGCGCGGGGACGGGAGCCUGGCGAGGCCGGAAGCCGGGCCCCAGACAGGGUGCUGGCGGGCCCCGGGGGGCGGAGGGGGGCCGAGAAGAGGGUGGCGAAGUUUGUGACUGGAAAAGAGGUUGGAGGGUGGUCGGAGGCGGGAAGGAGGGGCGUCCCUGGGUCUGUGCGGUCCCCACACUGCUGGCGCGAAGGACGGAUCCGGGGGCCGCCCGGGGCACCGCUUAUAUGAGUUCGUCAUUCUUUUCCCGUUUACCAGCAAAGAGAAGUUACCUGAAAUCGAUGCCGACUCUUUGGAGUAAGGAUAAAGUGCUGUAUUUUAAGGAGGCCACAGUGAACAGGACAAGAACCUCAGCUUCAUCAGCUGGACCUGGCUACACAACUUACCUUAGCUUGAGUUUCCUCUUACAUCAGAUGAACAGAUACUAUCUUCCUUACAUAAUUGUUAUGAGAAGGCAAUGAGCUAUCCUUUGCCUAUUUAUUGACAGUCCAUCUGAAGGAAGCAAGCUCGGAAAGUUUAACCCAUCGUAUUUUUAGAAGUACUUAAGUGAACUCUAACAACUCCUUGAGAGUUAUGGCAACGUCCAGGACGUUUUUUGUCUUUGUUGGGCAUAUGAUAUAUCAUACCUGCUGGGCUCGGUGUUUUUCAAGGAAUUCUGCAGAUCAAGUGCCAGGCCAUGACGGGAGACUUGUUCUGAAGUAAUCAUCAGCCAGUUGGAAACAACAAUUGAAAAUAUCCCUAAGUUUGCUCAGAGUGUUGUCCACAAUGCCUCCUACGUGUCCUAGAAGCGCACGCCCCUAUCACACUUGACACCCACUAGGGGUGUCCUAUCAGGUUGAGUGGUCUACCUGCAAGCCUUUCUGCAAGAAAAUUAAAAGAAAAAAGAAAAUCCUUGUUGAGCUUUGACUUUCUGCUUAUAAUGCCUUUUAUACCCCAAAGAAUUGAUAUCUUCCAGAUAAAAUGUGAAGUGCAGCACAAAGACAUGUGUCUAUAUCAAGUAUGAGAACAUGCUGGGACUUUGGAGACAUUGUGAGACCUUAUACAACUGUAUAUA